rnacentral:rRNA from 1 species
UACGUAGGUGGCAAGCGUUGUCCGGAUUUACUGGGCGUAAAGAGCGCGCAGGCGGUCGGAUAAGUCGAAUGUGAAAGCCCCCGGCUCAACUGGGGAGGGUCAUUCGAUACUGUUCGACUCGAAGGCAGGAGAGGGAAGUGGAAUUCCCGGUGUAGUGGUGAAAUGCGUAGAUAUCGGGAGGAACACCAGUGGCGAAGGCGACUUCCUGGCCUGUUCUUGACGCUGAGGCGCGAAAGCUAGGGGAGCAAACAGG